rnacentral:lncRNA from 1 species
GUUGUCAUUAUUAUGAAUCUAAUGAUAUGGAGAAAAUGGAGUUUCCUGAACAGCUAAUGUGAGACUCUCUUUGUAGGGCAAGCUGAGCUUUGCUGAGAAGAUAUUUUGAAAAGCCUGUGGUGGGGAAGAAGCUAGACUGGGACUGGCAUCUAGGGCUGGUGAAGGAAUACUUCAAAGAGGUUUGACUGUUAUCACAGAUAUUACCUAAAGAAGGAGGAUCAAUUUCUGGAUCAUAUGGGAUGAGUGGGCCCAGCAUAUAAUGAUGCACCAUUAGGAAAGGAGAGCAGAGACGGAGACAUGAGGAUUUACAACUGCAUCGUUCUGCUGUCUCUCAUAU